CUCCUCGCUCCUAGGCGUCACUAAAGUCUAGGAAAAUUAUGCUAAUGAGGACGAACGGCUCUCACAAAGGGGCUCUCUUGCUGGGCUCUAUUUCUUAGGAAUCCGUUUGAGAAACCACACAACCCUCUCCCCUAGUCAUUUCCAGUUAGGGGUGAGGGUAAAGGUAAAGAGAGAACCAGAAAUGAGUUCCCCCAAGAGUUUGGGAGUUUACUUCACCUGCCACUCCUGAUCCAGGCACCCCAAAGCCAAUCUUCAGGGUGCUGGGAUAGGGCCUUUCUCCAGAGACCUUCUCAAGAGCCAACUGGUCUCUUUGGUGAUAUUUUUAAGCAGAAACUCUUGGCAUUUUGGUAGGCAGGAGGGAAGUGUCCUGGAGGAGAGACACAUUUGACCCGGGGUGAAAUGAGUGUCUGGGCUCAAGCACAAGAAAGGGUGCCUAGCAGCUCUCCAGUGCCCACUGAAUAGUACAGACACGAAGCUCACCUACAGGGAAGACCGAUAAAACUCUGAUCCCAGCACAAAUGGACAUGCAUGAUAUGUCUCUCCCCAAAACCCGUGUUAGUAAAGUGGUCUUCCUUUACUGAACUGAGAGCUGAGAAAAGGCACGAGUUUGCCUGGUAAUAUUGUCAUAACUUUAAAAAGGAUGAUAUUCCUCCCAAGUCUUCCCUGAGCUCUAUAGGUUCAGAAGCAAACUCUGCAACAUGUAUGAGUGUGGCAAAAGAGAGAAAUGGAGCUUUCCUGCAAUUCCAAGGCGUCAAUGGCCGGGUCCUUCUCAAAGGAAGGUGUUAAAAAUAUAAGUAGUAUGUUUAAACUGUCAGGGAGCCAAAGUGUCACCUUAGAGCAAAAACAAAGCCAGGGGAAAGGGAGAAAUCAAAAAGCACUCUGGGCCAGGGUGGCCUCAUGCAUACCAAUGGUUUUUGUCAUUUAUGGCCAGGCAAGAUUUAUGACUCGGAGCCCCAAAGCUGUAAACAGAGCACAAAACAGCAAACACUUGCUCCUUAUGGCAUAUUGCAGUGGCACAACUUGAAAGCUGGAGCUAGCCGCGUAGGAGAAAUUACCCGUUGCCGGCUGUGCCCUUUCUAGGCAAAUCCCUCAACAAUUCACCCGGCUUCUUCAAACUCACCAAGCUUCUCUUUGCUGAGAGGACCCAAUGGCUCCUGGAACUCACCUCAAGUCCCCAUGGUUCCUAAUUUUUCUUCCAGGGGGACUAGAAGAAAACAUUUUCUCAGCAGUAGAAGAGUACUUGGAGCAACAAAGGUGCCUGGUGGUACAUUUCUACCAUGCAAGGCAAUAUCCUGCAUAUCUGUGAGAGAGCCUCAGCGGCUCCAAGGCUACCUGUGCAACCAGGGAAGAAGGUGAGGGGUAAUUGUGGGCAAGAAGAGGCAUUGAAAUCUCAGAAUGGGGAGAAAAGUCAUUGAGGAAUUAUACUUGCCUGUGAGAGUGAGGCUGGCAUUUUGAAGGUAGAAGGGGACCGGCUUUUUAAAAUAGCUGAUAGUUUAGCUAUAAUGGAGUGGUUUUAGUUCUUUCCUGGGAGGAUAAACCAACCCAUGCUCUAUAAAAGCAGCUAUUGGCUUCUUCUCACUGUGCAUGCUUUUAUAUAGAACCAGCUCAAGAGUCCAUCGUUAGAUAUUUAUUCUGUUUGCUGGCAUUGAAGCGACAAUAAAAAGAUGCCUCUAACAAA